rnacentral:rRNA from 1 species
GACGGAGGGUGCUAGCGUUGUUCGGAAUUACUGGGCGUAAAGGGCGCGUAGGCGGCACUUCAAGUCAGCUGUGAAAUCUCCGGGCUUAACUCGGAACGGUCGGCUGAUACUGCUUUGCUAGAGUGCAGAAGGGGCAAUCGGAAUUCUUGGUGUAGCGGUGAAAUGCGUAGAUAUCAAGAGGAACACCUGAGGUGAAGACGGGUUGCUGGGCUGACACUGACGCUGAGGCGCGAAAGCUAGGGUAGCAAACGGG